CCUACGGGAGGCUGCAGUGGGGAAUAUUGGACAAUGGGGGCAACCCUGAUCCAGCCAUGCCGCGUGUGUGAAGAAGGCCCUCGGGUUGUAAAGCACUUUCAGUGAGGAAGAACGCCUGGUGGUUAAUACCCAUCAGGAAAGACAUCACUCACAGAAGAAGCACCGGCUAACUCCGUGCCAGCAGCCGCGGUAAUACGGAGGGUGCGAGCGUUAAUCGGAAUUACUGGGCGUAAAGCGCGCGUAGGUGGCUUGAUAAGCCGGUUGUGAAAGCCCCGGGCUCAACCUGGGAACGGCAUCCGGAACUGUCAAGCUAGAGUGCAGGAGAGGAAGGUAGAAUUCCCGGGGUAGCGGUGAAAUGCGUAGAGAUCGGGAGGAAUACCAGUGGCGAAGGCGGCCUUCUGGACUGACACUGACACUGAGGUGCGAAAGCGUGGGUAGCAAACAGGAUUAGAUACCCCUGUAGUC
rnacentral:rRNA from 1 species